ensembl:lncRNA
CUCAGACAAACAACAGCAACUUGAACUGCACCAGUUAAGCUGAAGCUCAGUUCAGAAUGAAGAUCAUCAUCACCUUCUGCCUGAUCACAGGUCUAGUGAGCAGCACUAAUGUGAUAAGCUACUCUGGGGGCAGUGUAAUAAUGACCAUGGGUGAUCGUCAUCGGUGGAGCUCACACACUCCAAAGUAUAUCUGCAAGUUUGCAGGAGGUGCCUGCAAAACUGUAAUACAGUCUACUGCUCAAAAUGAUACUGUUUUUGAAGGAAGGUUCUCGCUGUAUGAAAGUAAACAAGGACAUUUCGGAGUGUUAAUCAGAGAGCUGAACCCACAGGAUGCUGGAAAAUACCGAUUUGGAUUGGCUAAUAAUUGGAAUCGGGAAAUAAAUCUGAAAGUUCACCAUGAUGCUUGUUGUGGGAUGUCAAUGACAGUGGUUGGACAUCUGAACAAGGAUGUCAGCAUCAGUUGUGACUAUACAGUGGAACAUAAGAGAACAUGGAAGUACUUCUACAAACUGAAAGGUCACUCAGCUGAUUAGGUCAUUUUUACGAUGCCUGACAAAAACCACAAAGAAAAUCAGUUUUACAUCACUGAUGAUAAUCGUUUAAACCUUUUCACCAUGACCAUCCGUGAGUUGAAAGAAGAGGAUGGUGGGGUUUAUUUCUGUGGCACACAGACCUGGGAAUAUCCAAUCAAAGUGUUCUCUACAAUCAAAACUGUACAUCUCCAUGUUACUGGUGAGAUAAACAUGAAGUCAUCUAUUAGCAGUGGUGAACUGUGAUUAUUAGAGCUGGGCUUUCAGUUUAGGACUUUACAAAAGUCAAAACUUGUAGUAAUAGCCUGUAACAGACCUGAUUAGAAGACUUUUAAAGCUUGAAAAACAAUUUGCACAUUUUUUAUUUGAGGCUUGUAAAAGACAUUAACAUAUAGACAAAAAAUGAGCCACCUUGCAUGUUUAAGGUGGUAGUAGUAGAAGGAAAGGUCACCAGUUUUAUUCUGUGAAGGAUCUAGAACUUCUGGAAGUUUUUUUUUCCAUCCAUCCAUUUUCUAAGCCGCUUCUCCCUCAGAGUCGCGGGGGGGGGGUGCUGGAGGCUAUCCCAGUGGUCAUUGGGAGGAAGGCAGGAUACACCCUGGACAGGUCGUCAGCCCAUCGCGGGGCAGACAGACAGACAGACACAGACAGUCACUCACACCUAGGGGCAAUUUAGCACGUCCAAUUGGCCUGUUUUUUUUUAAUCCAAUUGCAAAUUGAAAUACCAUUGGUCGAUUCAUUCCUGUGUCUUUCUAAUUAUGUUAGUAGUUUAUUUAAAUUUUAAGGCCUUUAUUCCAGCUCCUGAAGUCCAAACCAGGGUAAAAUCUAGCUUAGCUGUAUUUAACUAGAUACCAAAAAUGUAUCGUAAAAUAAUAGUUUUACUAUAAUGCAAGUAGUCUUUAAAUACAUCAAAUAUGAUGAUUCUAUUAAAUAAAAAGACCUUAAAAUUACAGACUUGAAAUCACCUGACUUUCUCUGAAGGUCUAGAAAGUUCCACUGUUAUUUACUUUAUGGACUUGCUGAUGAGAUUCUAAUUGGUGUUUAACUUGACAGAUAAAGUUCAGAGUUCAGUCAGAGUGACUGGCUUCUUACGAGGACGCAUCAUGUUGAAAUGGGAAAUUUUUGUUAAGAAUUGCUUUUAUAGGUGUUUUUUUUUUCAAGUAAGAAGCGAUAACUAUAGCAAACGUACAGACACCAAUUCAUCCACACCAGUCAUAUUGGUAUCAGCACAGAUAUCGGCACUUAAACACAGUAUCGGUAUUGCUAAUAGGGAUACCGAUACCAUGCAGCAAUUUCCUCUCUCUCUCUCUCUCUCUCUCUCUCUCUCUCUCUCUCUCUCUCUCUCACUCUCUUUCUCGCUCUCUCUCUCUCUCUCGCUCUUUCUCUCUCUCUCUCGCUCUUUCUCUCUCUCUCUGUGGUUUACUCCUCUUCCUUUCACAGAUGUUCAUCCUUAAAUGACAUGCCGGCAGUCAGUCCAGAGGUGCACUCUCAGAAAAAACUGUCACUGGUGUGGUUCCCUCAAGGGUACGUCUCCAGUUCCUUUAUUUAGGAACCAUAUUUGUACUGAAUUACAUUGCAGUUAUAUUUUUUAAGUUGCUUUGACUCUAUACACCAUGUAUCGUCUCCA